AAGACUAUACUUUCAGGGAUCAUUUCUACAGUUUAUUACUAGAGAAGUUUCUCUGGUCAUGUAGAGCCCCCUAAACCAUGAGGAAGAGCAGAACAUCUUCUCCUGAGCACGAAGCCAGUUCUAGCUACUGCUUUAACAACUGCCUUUUACCAUUGUGCGUUCUUCUCUUUCUUUAGAAGAACGAGAGGGAGAGGAUGUGGCCUAAGUGAU